rnacentral:rRNA from 1 species
GUGGGGAAUAUUGCACAAUGGGCGCAAGCCUGAUGCAGCAACGCCGCGUGAGGGAUGACGGCCUUCGGGUUGUAAACCUCUUUUAGUAGGGAAGAAGCGUAAGUGACGGUACCUGCAGAAAAAGCACCGGCUAACUACGUGCCAGCAGCCGCGGUAAUACGUAGGGUGCAAGCGUUGUCCGGAAUUAUUGGGCGUAAAGAGCUCGUAGGCGGCUUGUCGCGUCUGCCGUGAAAACCCAGGGCUCAACUCUGGGCGUGCGGUGGGUACGGGCAGGCUAGAGUGCGGUAGGGGAGAUUGGAAUUCCUGGUGUAGCGGUGGAAUGCGCAGAUAUCAGGAGGAACACCGAUGGCGAAGGCAGAUCUCUGGGCCGUAACUGACGCUGAGGAGCGAAAGCAUGGGGAGCGAACAGGAUUAGAAACCCCGGUAGUCC